UAUCUUGGUCUGCAGUCAGGAUCAGAAAAGAGAGAGAGAGAGAGAGAGAGAGAGAGAAGCUCUGGAUAAACAUAGUACCAGGGCAGUUCUGAACAAAAGUGACAGCGGAGCUGUGGCUUGGCUGGUGCAGAGCUGAGUUUCUCCCAGUGACACCCCCACCCCCCACCCAGGCCUCCUGGGAGGUGCAGCUGCAGGUGAGGAAGCCAGUGGGCCGAGAGCAGAGAGACGCUGUGAGGCACCACAGCACAACUCCAAGCCCACAGCGUGGCCUCAGACUACUGGAAGGGCGAGGCAUCGGCAAGCUUCUCCUGGAAGAAGAAACCCUGGAAGGCAAGAGGACAUCACUGCCGGAGGUACAAAGGGCUGCCAGGACUACAGGGUGGCAAGGAGAUAGACAGGCCUCCGUAGAUGGGCCUUCCUUGCUCUCACUUUUCCUCAUGUUUUCCCAUUGCGCUCAUGGUCAGGUUAGGACAUGGUUGGAAGGGGAAAACUCUCAUGAAGAGGAAAGGCUGAAGGGACCGUUUUCCUAGGAAUUUGGAGAGUGCAAGACAGAUGCCUGAGAGGUUGCCUUUUUCUCUUUUCUUUACAACGUGGGGCUAGGGCAAAGGCCUUGAGGUCCUGGUUGUUUUAAGGGACAGCCAUCCUUUGGUUAUCCUCUGUUCAGGCCCACUCACCGCAGGGAAAAUCAGCGAGAGCUUUGGCAGAGAGGUUAGACAUUCUCUGCAGAGCUAGUGUUUCUGCAGGACAGUGUCCCAUGAGAACCUUCCCUUUGCUGCUAGGCAGCUGAUGGAGAGGCUUCUAGAGCUGAGGAGAGGGAUAUUUAAGAGACAUUCCCUCGGUAAGACCGUUUUCCCACUGCAUUAUCUGUGGAUCUAGGGAGAUGGGCCUCUCGAAGCUGGGCCCAUGGAAAGAGCUCAAAUCUUGCCGUCAUGAGACCUUGGGCCACGAGUAAUGUCAAAUACUGUAGGUGAUUUAAGGAUAAGCAGUUUUAUUUAAUGACCCUCGAAAUGAAAACCAUAUCCCCUAGCCAGUGUGAUAAAUGCCUUACCUUUGGGGUACACGACUCACUGACCUGGGCUGAUUUACUUACACUCGGGCAAUCAGCUCGUAGAGGCAGGAAUGGAGAAACAUGGAAGUUGGUUUUAAGAAGUAAGGUUUUGAGUUUUUGUUUGUUGGGGUUUUCCUUGGAUGGCAGAUUUCAUGUUUGGAGAUGACGUUUCUGAUCUACAAUGAGGAGGGAUGGUGCUUAGAGCUUAUUUUCUGAGGAAUGGGAAUGGAUUUGCAUAGAUUUGUCCUCUUCAGUCUCUGCAUAACUGCAUAAUCGUGCAGGCAGUCAGCUUGACCCAAAGAAAGGGAGGAGAGCUCGCGGGCUGGCACAGGGGUUGGACUCCUGAUGUGGGUCUCCUGGGCCUAGAGCUUAGGGCUGCUCCUCUACCUGCUUCUACCCCCCUCAUUACACGUGACACCCUCACCUGCAAGAUGGUCACCUGGACAUGAAUUUUGCCUUCAUCAAGACAUCUUUGUAAGUAU
rnacentral:lncRNA from 12 species